rnacentral:rRNA from 1 species
CCUACGGGGGGCAGCAGUGGGGAAUAUUGCACAAUGGGGGAAACCCUGAUGCAGCGACGCCGCGUGAGUGAAGAAGUAUUUCGGUACGUAAAGCUCUAUCAGCAGGGAAGAAAAUGACGGUACCUGACUAAGAAGCCCCGGCUAACUACGUGUCAGCAGCCGCGGUAAUACGUAGGGGGCAAGCGUUAUCCGGAUUUACUGGGUGUAAAGGGAGCGUAGACGGCAGCGCAAGUCUGGAGUGAAAUCCCAUGGCUUAACCAUGGAACUGCUUUGGAAACUGUGCAGCUAGAGUGCAGGAGAGGUAAGCGGAAUGCCUAGUGUAGCGGUGAAAUGCGUAGAUAUUAGGAGGAACACCAGUGGCGAAGGCGGCUUACUGGACUGUAACUGACGUUGAGGCUCGAAAGCGUGGGGAGCAAACAGGAUUAGAUACCCUUGUAGUC